GAAAUCUGCUUUGUUUAGAAAAGUAAUGUGCUCAGCUACGAAAAUGUGUUUACCUAAGUGACUGUAGCUAAAAAUGAUCUCAUGGUACAGUUCUGGCCAAUGAGAUGUAUGGCAGAUGGUUUUGGGGAGGCGCUGGUUCACAAACUGAAAGGAAACACUCCUUCUGCCCUUCGCUUUUGCCUUUCUUCCUUGCAGGCCUGAAGGCUCAGAAAACCAAUUCACAAAUGAGAAGACAAGCAACAUAUUCUAAGGAUGGUCAAGCAGAAAGCAGGAGUCCAGGUCCUCGAUGCCACUCACAGCUGCCACCCCAGGCUGUACUUUAUCCUGUCACAGAACAAGCUUUUAACAAGUGGCAGUUCUACAAGCACAGGAACUAG
rnacentral:lncRNA from 1 species